rnacentral:rRNA from 1 species
UGGGGAAUCUUGCACAAUGGGCGAAAGCCUGAUGCAGCCAUGCCGCGUGAAUGAUGAAGGCCUUAGGGUUGUAAAAUUCUUUCGCUAGGGAUGAUAAUGACAGUACCUAGUAAAGAAGCCCCGGCUAACUUCGUGCCAGCAGCCGCGGUAAUACGAAGGGGGCUAGCGUUGUUCGGAAUUACUGGGCGUAAAGCGCGCGUAGGCGGGCUAUUAAGCCAGAUGUGAAAGCCCGGAGCUCAACUCCGGAACUGCAUUUGGAACUGGUAGCCUAGAGACCAGGAGAGGUUAGCGGAAUACCGAGUGUAGAGGUGAAAUUCGUAGAUAUUCGGUGGAACACCAGUGGCGAAGGCGGCUAACUGGACUGGUACUGACGCUGAGGCGCGAAAGUGUGGGGAGCAAACAGG